rnacentral:rRNA from 1 species
UGGGGAAUAUUGCACAAUGGGCGCAAGCCUGACGCAGCCAUGCCGCGUGUGUGAAGAAGGCCUUCGGGUUGUAAAGCACUUUCAGCGGGGAGGAAGGCGUUAAGGUUAAUAACCUUGGCGAUUGACGUUACCCGCAGAAGAAGCACCGGCUAACUUCGUGCCAGCAGCCGCGGUAAUACGGAGGGUGCAAGCGUUAAUCGGAAUUACUGGGCGUAAAGCGCACGCAGGCGGUCUGUCAAGUCGGAUGUGAAAUCCCCGGGCUCAACCUGGGAACUGCAUUCGAAACUGGCAGGCUAGAGUCUUGUAGAGGGGAGUGGAAUUCCAGGUGUAGCGGUGAAAUGCGUAGAGAUCUGGAGGAAUACCGGUGGCGAAGGCGGCCCCCUGGACAAAGACUGACGCUCAGGUGCGAAAGCGUGGGGAGCAAACAGG